rnacentral:sRNA from 1 species
CCCAGUGUGAAGUGAAAGCAAAGUUUUAAAAUUUUUUCUCCUCUGCAAGAAAAUAUAUUUCAGAAAAUCCCUAUCUCAAAAAUGAAGCAAUUAAGAACUGUCUGGCUGUGAGGAUCUGGCCUCAACUUGACUUAAAGCAACUACUUCAGUUACGUAUCAAGAUGUGCGUGAGAAUGAACCUGCUCUGCUCAGCCAACGUGCUGAGUGACUUGAUGUUUGUAAUAAAUAAACAAAUAAACAACAAACAGGUUGUCAUGAAAUAUCCUUUGUAAUUAUAAACACAGGAAACUUUCUGAGAUGCAAGUGGGUGUUAAAUGGUUCAGCAAAGCCAAGCCAGAGCAGUUGGUGUGCUUUGAAAUGAAGCAACAUUGGAAAAAUGAAAUCUACUGAAAGAUCACUACAUGUUUCAAAGAACUGACUAGAACCAGAACUCUUCAGAAAAGAACGUGCUAAAGGUUUGUCCUUGAGAAGUUUCCAAGCCAAGACACUCCUAGGAGCACUUCCCAUUGAGGCCAAAAGGCUCAUCCACUUACAGCGAUUCAUGGGAAAAGAGGACAGCACCCUCAUCUUUGGUCCAAGAACACAAUCCUGAGUGACACAGGAUUGCCCUGAAAGUCAACAGCAUCCGUCUUACAAAAAUCAACAACACUCGCUUUUCAACCUUCCAAAGAAUUUACUGGUCUGGUUUGGCCUUUUGGUGCCACAUUCCAUUCCAGAACCCCAGCUAAAAUGUUCUCAAGGGCUGACCAGAGAUUCCUCCUCCUUUCUCUGGGCUGGUAC